rnacentral:rRNA from 1 species
UACGUAGGGGGCAAGCGUUGUCCGGAAUCAUUGGGCGUAAAGCGCGUGUAGGCGGUCCGGUAAGUCGGCUGUGAAAGUCAGAUGGCUCAACCUCUGAAAGCCGGCUGAUACUGUCGGGCUAGAGUCCGGAAGAGGCGAGUGGAAUUCCUGGUGUAGCGGUGAAAUGCGCAGAUAUCAGGAGGAACACCAAUGGCGAAGGCAGCUCGCUGGGACGGUACUGACGCUGAGACGCGAAAGCGUGGGGAGCAAACAGGAUUAGAUACCCUGGUAGUCCACGCCGUAAACGAUGGGCACUAGGUGUGGGGGGUGUCGACUCCCUCCGUGCCGAAGCUAACGCAUUAAGUGCCCCGCCUGGGGAGUACGGCCGCAAGGCUAAA